GAACCUGCGGAAGGAUCAUUACCGAGUGAGGGCCCUCUGGGUCCAACCUCCCACCCGUGUCUAUCGUACCUUGUUGCUUCGGCGGGCCCGCCGUUUCGACGGCCGCCGGGGAGGCCUCGCGCCCCCGGGCCCGCGCCCGCCGAAGACCCCAACAUGAACGCUGUUCUGAAAGUAUGCAGUCUGAGUUGAUUAUCAUAAUCAGUUAAAACUUUCAACAACGGAUCUCUUGGUUCCGGCAUCGAUGAAGAACGCAGCGAAAUGCGAUAAGUAAUGUGAAUUGCAGAAUUCAGUGAAUCAUCGAGUCUUUGAACGCACAUUGCGCCCCCUGGUAUUCCGGGGGGCAUGCCUGUCCGAGCGUCAUUGCUGCCCUCAAGCACGGCUUGUGUGUUGGGCCCCGUCCCCUCCCCCGGGGACGGGCCCGAAAGGCAGCGGCGGCACCGCGUCCGAUCCUCGAGCGUAUGGGGCUUUGUCACCCGCUCUGUAGGCCCGGCCGGCGCCAGCCGACACCCAACUUUUAUUUCUAAGGUUGACCUCGGAUCAGGUAGGGAUACCCGCUGAACUUAAGCAUAUCAAUA
rnacentral:rRNA from 1 species